rnacentral:rRNA from 1 species
UACGGAAGGUGCGAGCGUUAAUCGGAAUUACUGGGCGUAAAGCGCACGUAGGUGGUUUUAUAAGUCGGAUGUGAAAGCCCCGGGCUUAACCUGGGAAUUGCAUCUGAUACUGUCUGACUAGAGUAUGCUAGAGGGAAGUGGAAUUCCAGGUGUAGCGGUGAAAUGCGUAGAUAUCUGGAGGAACACCAAUGGCGAAGGCAACUUCCUGGGGCAAUACUGACACUGAUGUGCGAAAGCGUGGGGAGCGAACGGG